CAGCAGCCGCGGUAAUACGAAGGGUGCAAGCGUUACUCGGAAUUACUGGGCGUAAAGCGCACGUAGGCGGAUAUUUAAGUCAGGGGUGAAAUCCCAGAGCUCAACUCUGGAACUGCCUUUGAUACUGGGUAUCUUGAGUAUGGAAGAGGUGAGUGGAAUUCCGAGUGUAGAGGUGAAAUUCGUAGAUAUUCGGAGGAACACCAGUGGCGAAGGCGGCUCACUGGUCCAUUACUGACGCUGAGGUGCGAAAGCGUGGGGAGCAAACAGGAUUAGAUACCCCUGUAGUCCCUGUCUCUUAUAC
rnacentral:rRNA from 1 species